rnacentral:misc_RNA from 1 species
GAUGAGGAACGUAGCGAAAUGCGAUACUUGGUGUGAAUUGCAGAAUCCCGUGAACCAUCGAGUCUUUGAACGCAAGUUGCGCCCGAAGCCAUUAGGCCGAGGGCACUCCUGCCUGGGCGUCACACGUCGUUGCCCCCCCAUCUACUCCUUCGGGAUUGCGGGGGGCGGAUGAUGGCCUCCCGUGCGCCUCGUCGCGCGGUUGGCAUAAAUGCCAAGUCCUCGGCGACGCACGCCACGACAAUCGGUGGUUGCGAAACCUCGGUUGCCCGUCGUGUGCGGUCGUCGCGCAUCGAGGGCUCGAAAAAAUUGUCGGGCUCCGGCUCGGCUUUCAACGCGACCCCAGGUCAGGCGGGGUUACCCGCUGAAUUUAAGCAUAUCAAUAAGCGGAGGA